UACGUAGGGCGCAAGCGUUAUCCGGAAUUAUUGGGCGUAAAGAGCUCGUAGGCGGUUUGUCGCGUCUGCCGUGAAAGUCCGGGGCUCAACUCCGGAUCUGCGGUGGGUACGGGCAGACUAGAGUGAUGUAGGGGGAGACUGGAAUUCCUGGUGUAGCGGUGAAAUGCGCAGAUAUCAGGAGGAACACCGAUGGCGAAGGCAGGUCUCUGGGGCAUUAACUGACGCUGAGGAGCGAAAGCAUGGGGAGCGAACAGG
rnacentral:rRNA from 1 species